GACGAACGCUGGCGGCGUGCUUAACACAUGCAAGUCGAACGGUGAUGCUCCAGCUUGCUGGAGUGGAUCAGUGGCGAACGGGUGAGUAACACGUGAGCAACCUGCCCCAGACUCUGGAAUAAGCGCUGGAAACGGCGUCUAAUACUGGAUACGAAACUGGCCCGCAUGGGCAUGGUUUGGAAAGUUUUUCGGUUUGGGAUGGGCUCGCGGCCUAUCAGCUUGUUGGUGAGGUAAUGGCUCACCAAGGCGACGACGGGUAGCCGGCCUGAGAGGGCGACCGGCAACACUGGGACUGAGAAACGGCCCAGACUCCUACGGGAGGCAGCAGUGGGGAAUAUUGCACAAUGGGCGAAAGCCUGAUGCAGCGACGCCGCGUGAGGGAUGACGGCCUUCGGGUUGUAAACCUCUUUCAGCAGGGAAGAAGCGAAAGUGACGGUACCUGCAGAAGAAGCACCGGCUAACUACGUG
rnacentral:rRNA from 1 species